UAAAAAUUAGUUAAUUAAAUAACGUGGGCUUGUCAAGCCUAAGUAAUUGCCAAGCAAUAUUUUUAU
rnacentral:tRNA from 1 species